rnacentral:rRNA from 1 species
AGAGUUUGAUCCUGGCUCAGGAUGAACGCUAGCUACAGGCUUAACACAUGCAAGUCGAGGGGCAGCAUGAACUUAGCUUGCUAAGUUUGAUGGCGACCGGCGCACGGGUGAGUAACACGUAUCCAACCUGCCGAUGACUCGGGGAUAGCCUUUCGAAAGAAAGAUUAAUACCCGAUGGCAUAGUUCUUCCGCAUGGUAGAACUAUUAAAGAAUUUCGGUCAUCGAUGGGGAUGCGUUCCAUUAGCUUGUUGGCGGGGUAACGGCCCACCAAGGCAUCGAUGGAUAGGGGUUCUGAGAGGAAGGUCCCCCACAUUGGAACUGAGACACGGUCCAAACUCCUACGGGAGGCAGCAGUGAGGAAUAUUGGUCAAUGGGCGCUAGCCUGAACCAGCCAAGUAGCGUGAAGGAUGACUGCCCUAUGGGUUGUAAACUUCUUUUAUAUGGGAAUAAAGUGCAGUAUGUAUACUGCUUUGCAUGUACCUUAUGAAUAAGGAUCGGCUAACUCCGUGCCAGCAGCCGCGGUAAUACGGAGGAUCCGAGCGUUAUCCGGAUUUAUUGGGUUUAAAGGGAGCGUAGGCGGGUUGUUAAGUCAGUUGUGAAAGUUUGCGGCUCAACCGUAAAAUUGCAGUUGAUACUGGCAUCCUUGAGUACAGUAGAGGUAGGCGGAAUUCGUGGUGUAGCGGUGAAAUGCUUAGAUAUCACGAAGAACUCCGAUUGCGAAGGCAGCCUGCUGGACUGUAACUGACGCUGAUGCUCGAAAGUGUGGGUAUCAAACAGGAUUAGAUACCCUGGUAGUCCACACAGUAAACGAUGA